rnacentral:rRNA from 1 species
GACAGAGGGUGCAAACGUUGUUCGGAAUUACUGGGCGUAAAGCGCGUGUAGGCUGCUCAGAAAGUUGGAUGUGAAAGCCCUGGGCUUAACCUAGGAAGUGCAUUCAAAACUACUGAGCUGGAGUCCUGGAGAGGAUCGCGGAAUUCCCGGUGUAGAGGUGAAAUUCGUAGAUAUCGGGAGGAACACCAGUGGCGAAGGCGGCUUACUGGUCCGGUACUGACGCUGAGGUGCGAAAGCGUGGGGAGCAAACAGG